rnacentral:rRNA from 1 species
CCUAAGGGUGGCAGCAGUGGGGAAUAUUGGACAAUGGGGGAACCCUGAUUCCGCCAUGCCCCGGGUGUGAAAAAGGCCUUUUGGUUGUAAAGCACUUUAAGUGGGGAGGGGGCUAAUCUAGGUUAUACCUAGGGAUAUUGGACCUUAACCACAGAAUUAGCAACGGCUAACUCUUUGCCAGCAGCCGCGGGAAUACAGUGGGUGCGGGCGUUAAACGGUUUUACUGGGCGUAAAGCGUACGUAGGCGGCUUUUUAAGUCGGAUGUGAAAUCCAUGAGCUUAACUUAGGAAUUGCAUUCGAUACUGGGAAGCUAGAGUAUGAGAGAGGAUGGUAGAAUUCCAGGUGUAGCGGUGAAAUGCGUAGAGAUCUGGAGGAAUACCGAUGGCGAAGGCAGCCAUCUGACCUAAUACUGACGCUGAGGUACGAAAGCAUAGAGAGCAAACAGAAUUAGAUACCCGUGUAGUC